rnacentral:lncRNA from 1 species
UUGGUUCAUAUUUGUACAACUAUCUUCUCCUGUUUAUUUUUUCCAGAAUCCAAAACUUUUUUCCAGAAGCCAGUUCUUAAUAACAGACCUCAGACUAACACUUAACACUUACUACACAAAGAGCUCAUCAUCUAGCACGGGUCUCACAACUCUAAGCUCAAAGUCACCCUACCUGUGAUGAUCAGCAAACUCAAAAUGCCCUUAACAACAUCUCCACUAGGCUCAAAACAGGUACAAAUGUAACCACUUCAUCCCUUCUCAAUGAUUGGCUUUGCUGAUUCAUUAAAAUAAAUAUAGUGAUGCAAGGGUUAAAUAUUCAGCACCCAACAUCUUUGAUAGCACACUCUGCCUGGCACCUACUGGACAACAAUGAAACACUACUCCAGUGGAACUAAAAACAGCACAAGAUUAAAGUAAGUUCAGAAACCAUCCUUUCCUCCGCUGAGCUAAAGGAACAAUCAGAUUUUCCCCAGACCUCUGGGAAUGGAGCCAAUCAUUCCAAAUCGAAGACCAACUCUGACCAGUCCUUUCCCAGUCUGUUGGGACUUGCGCUGACCACUGGCUCAGCCCCAGUUCUAAAGCUUCCAUGACCAAAACAGAACCCAGGGUUUGUCUAAAGGUAGCAGCACCGUGUGGUUCCCGAGGAAAUUUUUAUUCAACCACCAGCAGCAAUACUAUCUAGUGCAAGACCUACACAUGCUCUUUGGAUGGAUCACAAGUGGCCAAAUUAGGGGAGGAAAGAUGUCAUGCCUGUAUAAGCCUCCACCUCAAGAAACCAGCACAGGAAAGGUGUAGUUUUGCAUCAUCUGAGUCCUCAAUCGUGACUUUGGGCCUAUGGAGAAUCUGCUUUACAAACCUCCUGCAGCUUCCAGUUCCCCCAAGACCCACUCUGCAGUCUUUUCCCUUCUCACUGCAAUCUUUUCUCCCCUCUCCCCAGCAACAGGGGUGUUCUGUGGUUCUUCGCACAGGACAGGUACACCUGCCCCAGGUGCUUUCCACUCACUGCUGCUUCUGCCUGGAUCACCCUUCCCAGCCCACUAGGCUCACUCCAUUGCUUCCUCUUUAUUUUUUUCUUCUUCUUCAAUGCCAGGGAUCAACCCCAGGGUCUCCUGCAUGUGAGAUAAGGGUUCUACCUCCAUGCUACAACCCUGACCCUAAUCAUUUAAUAAAUACCAUCUCCUUGGAAACUUCUUUUUUAAUCACACCACUGUAAAGGAAAAUAUUCUAUUUUAUCUGAUUCUGCUUUUAUUCAAAGCACUUGAUCAUCUGACAUACUAUAUAUUUAUAUAUUUAACUGGUUGUUUGUUUUUCUAUCUUCCUCUACUGACAUGUGUUGUUUGCAAGGGCAGGAGGUCUGUUUUUUCCCUCUAAUAAGGCCAAACACAGAUCUUUCCCCUGGUGCCUGAACCUGUUGACAAAAGAACAUGAGAUGAUAAAAGCUGUAAAAUCUAUAAAAAGCAAAAACUCUUCCUCGGUUUUUGAAUCUGCUCUUAAACUUGGGCUUCAGCCUCCAUCUUUAUCUUCUACCUCAGCAUUGACUUGUGACAUUUCUGAACCUCUCCAUGGCCAAUAACCACAUCAUUUCACAGGUACCAACAUAACUAACCACCUCACGACAUCAGUAAUACAAACAAGUAGCAAUGUUGAGAUGCAGUCUGUCAAAAGAGUAAGUUCUAAAAGUGUGUGGCAAAGGGCUAAUUCAGCAGGUUUGGGAUGUUCAAACCCUGAACUUUUCCAAGGAAGGACUGGCCGUUGAGCAGCUCUGAGCCUUUGGAAAAUCCUUUCUAAUGAGAGUGUCUUUGUAUACCUGAGACCCUGAGCCACACCAGAGAGUUGAUGCUAAUCACAUGGUUUAUAGGGACCACCUGUUUGGACCACACUGCACCAAUUUGACCUCUAGGGGAGCUGUCAACUGAGUAGCUACAGUCAGUCACGUGGGAGCUCCAUGCUUAGGGGACAAACCCCAAUAGCAAGGCUCCAGUGGAUUCCUCCAGCUGGCACCUCCAUCCACACUGUCACACAUCAUUUCUGGGAAGACUGGUACUGUCCUUUCCCUUCCACUAGGAGAGGAUGACUGGAAGCCAAGGUCUGAUUCCUCCCAAAUUCUACCCUGUUGCCUUUUCCUCUGCUGAUUUUAAUCUGUCUCCCUUGUCUCUAGUAAAUCCUAAAUUUGAGCAUAACAGCCUUUCUGAGCCCUGUGAAUCUUUCUCUAGAGAAUCAUCAAACCUGACAGUAGUUUUAGAGAGCAUAACAAAGCCAAGACUGAUGAUGAUUAUAAAAUCCAUUCAUUUACCUAUAAAAAGUAUUCUUAAGAACU